GACAGAGGAUGCAAGCGUUAUCCGGAAUGAUUGGGCGUAAAGCGUCUGUAGGUGGCUUUUAAGUCCGCCGUCAAAUCCCAGGCUCAACCCUGGACAGGCGGUGGAAACUACCAAGCUGGAGUACGGUAGGGCAGAGGGAAUUUCCGGUGGAGCGUGAAAUGCGUAGAGAUCGGAAAGAACACCAACGGCGAAAGCACUCUGCUGGCCGACACUGACACUGAGAGACGAAAGCUAGGGAGCGAAUGG
rnacentral:rRNA from 1 species